CCACGAACACAUUCAUGUCCCAGAUGCAGCUCUAAUGCAAGUUCUCUGAUGUUAGGUCAUUUAUCUUCACCAGGUAACAAGAACACAACUAUACAUCCUGACUGAUACACAUGUACACAUAUGAAGAUCAAGAUAAAAAGACUGAAAGAGUUUAUUACUCAUGAGGCCUGACUUACAAGAAUUGCGAAGUUGAAGUGAAAGAAUACUAGACAGCAACACCAAAACAUAUGAAAAUAUAAAGCUCUUUGAUGGAGAUAAAUAUAUGGACAAAUACGGAAUCCUGUAAUUUGUAAUGGUGAUGCAUAAAUAAAUUUAAAUUCAGGUAUAAAAUUUAAAAU
rnacentral:lncRNA from 1 species